AGCGAACGCUGGCGGCAGGCCUAACACAUGCAAGUCGAACGAACUCUUCGGAGUUAGUGGCGGACGGGUGAGUAACACGUGGGAACGUGCCUUUAGGUUCGGAAUAACUCAGGGAAACUUGUGCUAAUACCGAAUGUGCCCUUCGGGGGAAAGAUUUAUCGCCUUUAGAGCGGCCCGCGUCUGAUUAGCUAGUUGGUGAGGUAAAGGCUCACCAAGGCGACGAUCAGUAGCUGGUCUGAGAGGAUGAUCAGCCACAUUGGGACUGAGACACGGCCCAAACUCCUACGGGAGGCAGCAGUGGGGAAUCUUGCGCAAUGGGCGAAAGCCUGACGCAGCCAUGCCGCGUGAAUGAUGAAGGUCUUAGGAUUGUCAAAUUCUUUCACCGGGGACGAUAAUGACGGUACCCGGAGAAGAAGCCCCGGCUAACUUCGUG
rnacentral:rRNA from 1 species